GAAGCAGUCGCCUUAAAAAAAUAACUAUUAUGUUUUCCCCCAAAUAAAUCAACUACAUUUGCGAGAAAAAUAUUCAGAGAAAAUGUUCCCUAAAAGAAUUGUGGGAAGUUGCACAAUUUCUCGCUGAUAAAUGUGCAGCCUUUUCCUCAAAUAUUUUGAACAUCUGAAACACGUCCUUCAGUUGAGAUUUUGAAAAGAAUGCCUCAAAGACGGACGCCAUUGAAGUUCAGCAUGGAAUAGUAAAAGGGUUGGCAAAAUGCUCAUCAAAGUCCAGUACCGUGGACUAAAAAAAGUACCUCAAACUGCAUCCUGGUUUUUCUUAUGAAAGUUUCAUUGAAGAAGAAUUUGUGCCAGCAGGUUCUUCUACUCUAAUUUCUUCAAGUGAUAUGGAGAGGUCCUCUUCAAACAAGGGACAUCAAUCUCCUGGUGCAGGAGAGAACACCUCUGCCAUAGGGGAUGCAGCAGAAAAGGCCAAAUGAUGGUCCAGGAGGUUCUGGAGAAGAGUUCAGGGGGAGAGGAAACAAUGGAGGAAUAUAAGAGAUUGAGCCCCGUGACAUACUGCACAAGACGGCAUCAUAUCCUGGUCAGCCACAUUGUUGAAAUGCAUGGGAACUCUGGAUCUCAUUCAUAGUCACAAUUGGGUCCUUGGUUACCUGUUUGACCAAGGCCCCUUUGUCCCAGGAUUACUCAGUUUGGCUUGCUUUUUGCGGAGAGUUGGAGGAUUUUGUGUAGAUGUUGAUGAAGAUGAUAUGUUUGUUAUAUCUCUAUUUUUUUUUUCUCAACGUCAGGUUUAAUUUACACUGAAUAA